AUGGCGCCGGAGCCGGAGCCGGAGGACGGGAGGGAGCUCUACGCUCUUCUGCACCUCUCGCCGGAAUCCUCCGACGAGGAAAUCCGCAGGGCAUACCGCCAGUUCGCGCAAAUCUACCACCCCGACAAGUACCAGGACCCCCAGAUGAAGGAUGUAGCAACUGAAAACUUCCAACGGAUACGUGAUGCAUAUGAGAUACUAUCGGAUGAGAACAAAAGACAGAUCUAUGAUAUUUAUGGCAUGGAAGGUUUAAAUUCUGGUCUGGAACUUGGUCCCAAGUUAAAUAAACCCGAAGAAAUCAAACGACAGUUGGAAGAGCUGCGACGGCGUAAGGAGGAAGAGAAACUUUUCGUUCAUGCUCGAUCCACUGGAUCAAUCCUAGCUAAUAUCUCAGUGCCACAAUAUUUAGAUGGUGACGGCAUCAUGGGAGGAAUGGGAAUGUCUAGUGAAAUUGAGCUGCCAGUAUCCAAGCAAAACACUGUGACUGUUGGUGGAAAUUUGGUCGUCAAUGGUACGACUGGAUCUGGUGCAGCAACUGCUGUGCUGCGCCAUCAGUUGUCUUCUGUGUCUUCGAUAGACUUCAUGGCAACAGCUGGAUUACGUUCCCUUAUUGGAGUACAGACAUUUCGUCAGAUUUCACCAAAUUCAACAGCAACUUCUGGAAUUGCUCUCUCAUUAAGAGAUGGAUCUGUUAACCUGUCAAAUGGCUGGAGUCGCCAAUUAUCUGAAGACACUGUUGGCAAUAUACAACUUGUCCUUGGUACUGAAUCAAAUAUAUCUGUCGGAUGGCACAAGAAGGAUGAAAAAAGGUCUGCGGCAGGAGAAAUAAAGUUUGGUACUAAUUCAUUUGGGGCGUCUGCUCAUUACACCCAUCGUUUCUCCUCAAAGUCCCAUGGUCGUAUUGCUGGUAGAGUUGGAAGCACGGCCCUUGAUUUUGAAAUUGGAGGAGGAAGACGGAUAUCAGAGUUCAGUACAGUAAGGAUGCUCUAUAAUAUAGGAAUCCAGGGUGUCACUUGGAAAUUUGAGUUGAAUCGUGCUGGGCAAAAGUUAGUUAUCCCAGUCUUGCUUUCAACUGACUUCAAUGCGUUAUUCGUCACCGGCGCAUUUGCUAUUCCUUCAACUCUAUAUUUUCUACUUCAGACAUAUGUUGUGAAACCUUAUUAUCUAAGGCGAGAAAAGCAGAAGACACUUGAAAAAAUGGAUAGCUUGUCUACACAGCUAACAGAAGCUAGACAAGCAGCUAAGAAGUCACAAAGAUUGCUGGAACCCGUCUCUAAUCGCAAGAGGAAUAAACAGCAGGAGAGUGAUGGUUUGGUAAUCACAAAAGCUCUGUAUGGCAAUCAUAAAAAGGUCAAAGAGAGUAGUCAAUUGAGUGAGAUAGAUGAUAAUGUGGCUUCACAAGUAUUAGAUGUGACGAUCCCACUCAACUUCCUCGUGACCGAGGCAGGUCAGCUCAAGCUUCACGAGGGGAUAAAGAAGUCCGGAAUAAUGGGCUUCUAUGAUCCUUGCCCUGGAGAUCCGAAGCUACUGCUCGUCGAAUACAUAUUUCAUGGUCGGCAAUACAAGGUAAUGGCAGAUGAUUACGGUGCACUGUCGAUACCACAAGACAUUCAUGAGAUUUGA
rnacentral:rRNA from 1 species